rnacentral:miRNA from 1 species
AUAUAAUAUACAUUUCUCUCUCUCUCUCUCUCUCUCUCUCUCUCUCUAUAUAUAUAUAUAUAUAUAUAUAUAUAUAUAGAGAGAGAGAGAGAGAGAGAGAGAGAGAGAGAGAGACUUGCCAG